rnacentral:rRNA from 1 species
GUACACUCCUGCGGGAGGCAGCAGUGGGGAAUAUUGGACAAUGGGCGCAAGCCUGAUCCAGCCAUGCCGCGUGAGUGAUGAAGGCCCUAGGGUUGUAAAGCUCUUUCACCGGUGAAGAUAAUGACGGUAACCGGAGAAGAAGCCCCGGCUAACUUCGUGCCAGCAGCCGCGGUAAUACGAAGGGGGCUAGCGUUGUUCGGAUUUACUGGGCGUAAAGCGCACGUAGGCGGGCUAUUAAGUCAGGGGUGAAAUCCCGGGGCUCAACCCCGGAACUGCCUUUGAUACUGGUAGUCUUGAGUUCGAGAGAGGUGAGUGGAAUUCCGAGUGUAGAGGUGAAAUUCGUAGAUAUUCGGAGGAACACCAGUGGCGAAGGCGGCUCACUGGCUCGAUACUGACGCUGAGGUGCGAAAGCGUGGGGAGCAAACAGGAUUAGAAACCCGUGUAGUCCC